rnacentral:rRNA from 1 species
UGGGGAAUAUUGGACAAUGGGGGAAACCCUGAUCCAGCGACGCCGCGUGUGUGAAGAAGGCCUGCGGGUUGUAAAGCACUUUUAGUGGGGAUGAAAUGUGCAGGGUUAAUACCUCUGCAUUUUGACCUAACCCACAGAAAAAGCACCGGCUAACUCUGUGCCAGCAGCCGCGGUAAUACAGAGGGUGCAAGCGUUAAUCGGAAUUACUGGGCGUAAAGCGUGCGUAGACGGUUACAUAAGUCGGGUGUGAAAGCCCCGGGCUCAACCUGGGAAUUGCAUUCGAGACUGCGUAGCUAGGGUGCGGAAGAGGGAAGCGGAAUUUCCGGUGUAGCGGUGAAAUGCGUAGAUAUCGGAAGGAACACCAGUGGCGAAAGCGGCUUCCUGGUCCAGCACCGACGUUCAGGCACGAAAGCGUGGGGAGCAAACAGGAUUAGAUACCCCUGUAGUCC